rnacentral:sRNA from 1 species
AACAACAAUAACACAAAUACACAAUAAAAUAGAAGUACAGUAGAGAAAGGAAACAAAAGCAAAAACAAAAAAAUUAUCUGUUAAAAAGUGUGAUUUUUUUUUUAAAAAUAUUAAAAAGAAAUAAAUUGAGAAAAAAACGAAUAACAACAACCUACAAAAGUGCAAUCAUUAUUAUACUUAACAAUUUUCCAAGUUGUUUAAAUUUUACUUAAAACAAAAAAAAACCAAGAAAACUCAUUUAAUGAAACCAAACCAAGUAAAUCUACCAACAACAACAGUUACAACAACAAUUGCCACAUAUCAUCUGUGAAAAUUCGAUAAAUGCAAAAACGAAAAACUUUGAACAAUUUAAUUUUAUUUCAAUAAAAAUCACUUCAAUUGUGAAAUAACGGCAAUUUUCCAUACAACAAGACAAAUUAUUUAAAAAAAAAGAAGAGAAAAGAAAAACAACAACAGGAGAGGUGGUUAAAAAAGCGUCAUUAAAAAACAAAAGCCCUCGAGUAUAUAAGGCCUGCUGUUGUUUAUAUACAUACCUCUAUAUAUAUAUAUAUAUAUAUGCUGCUAGUAUAUAAACAAUACAUAGGUACGUGAAAUAUUUGGAGAGGGGGUCGCCGGAAUAUUAUCCAUUGCUCCAGCAACGUCCCCAAAUACCCCCCACACACACACAAACAUACAAAGACAAGAACAAUCAUCAGCAUCAUCACCAAGGGAUUGGUGGGUUGGUUCGUUGGUCUGUGUGAUAAUCACACUCACACAUUUCUCAAUAAUAACUACAACAUCAAAAGCAUUAAUCAACCCAACCAUCACAGCAUCAUCACCGCCGAUGAGGGGUAGGUAGGAGGACGCAUUAAAAUCUCCUCUUUACAAAAAAGUAAAACGGUGCUGCAAUUUUUUAAUGCUAUUUCGCCGGAAGUGCGUAAACAAACUGCAAGGCAAACAUUCCAAUAUCUAUCCAGCCUUCCUGUUAUUUCCACUGGAGCUUUUGGCCUUUGGACACCCAAAAAAAAAAACAACAAUAACACUGCUGCAAUCAUCAAGGCAACGCAACGCAACGCAAUUUUUUUGUGCAUUCAUACGCACUGCACAUCAAAACAAGCUUUGGGGCCCGGCGACAGGACAGGAGUGUUGGGGAGGAAUAAAAUAAAAAUCAUCAACACAGCGUCCCCAAAAACAGUGUUUACCCAACAGCGCCAAUUCCCAACCUUCAAAAACCUUCAGUCGACAACAAACAAGAGACAGUACAGUUCAAUCCAAUAACCCCUCACAGUUUUAACUGUUCUACGCCGAAAUAUAUAAAAAAAUCUUUGGCAUUUACGCACAUUUUUAUACUGCUGCUGUUGUUGCUGCUGCUGCUGCUGCUGUUAUUCGAGAGAUUUUCGUUGUUUUCCUGUCAAUUUUUCUCCCCGAGAGUUGAUGCUGCUGCCGCUGUCGUUGUUAUACCAACAACACAACAAUCAUCAUUAACAUCACCAAACAGGACAAACCGUCCAACACACACACAUACACAAUCAAACGCCAAAAUCCGGGGGAGAACCAACCAACAAAAAACCUCAAGCCAGACAAACGGACACUCCAGAGCUUCAGAGAAUUGCAUAAAAAUUAAAAAAGCUGCAUGAAAACGCAUUGCACUGCUUGUUGUUUCAUCGAAUUCGUUGCGGAAAUAUACAAAAUAUGAUGCUAUGCACAUCAGCGCCUAUGAAGCAUGUAAGUCAAAUAAUUUGGUUUUCUCGAGAAUACAACAUAAGGUAACAUUAUAAA